UGGGGUUGGGGGGAAUACUACCUCCUUCUGCGGUGGCGCGUGUGUUACACACAUAAUAAGUCACUCCCCCGUGGGGAGUACCGCCGCAAGGUUGAAACCUCAAAAGGAAUGACGGGGGCCCGCACAAGCAAGUGGAAGUAUGUGGUUUAAUUCGAAGCAACCGCGAAGAACCUUACCAGGUCUUGACAUCGUAUGCAUAGUCUAGAGAUAGAUGAAAUCCCUUCGGGGACAUAUAGACAGGUGGUGCAUGGUUGUCGUCAGCUCGUGUCGUGAGAUGUUGGGUUAAGUCCCGCAACGAGCGCAACCCUUACUGUUAGUUGCUACGCAAGAGCACUCUAGCAGGACUGCCGUUGACAAAACGGAGGAAGGUGGGGAUGACGUCAAAUCAUCAUGCCCCUUAUGACCUGGGCUACACACGUACGGGGAAUGGCUGUUAACAGAGGGAAGCAAAGUGGUGACACGGAACGAGGGGCCGAGCGCAGUCUUAGUUCGGAUUGUAGGCUGCAACCCGCCUACAUGAAGUCGGAAUUGCUAGUAAUCGCGAGAUCAGCAUGCCGCGGUGAAUACGUUCCCGGGCCUUGUACACACCGCCCGUCACGCCAUGGGAGUCGGUAACACCCGAAGCCUGU
rnacentral:rRNA from 1 species